CACAGGUUUUGAUGAAUCUCCCCCAUUGUCUCUAGCAGUAUGCUAGGGAAAGGUCAAAGACAACAGUAAAUAAAAUAGACUUGCACAAAAGCAUUCUGGGUCCUGUGCAUGAAAAGGGGCAAAGCAGCGCAUAUAGGAAACAAAGUGGAAUCACCGACAGGAGGAGGAGAUGGAUCAGGAACGGGCGUAGAAGGAGGAAGGAAAAUUCCUACGACCCGGAACAAAGGCAACCGGACAGUAUCCAACAAAUAGAUGGACAGAGUGAUAUACAGAAUUUGGUGUGCACAUGGGGUCCAUCUUGGGAACACCAUGACACCUGAGAUUGCAUGUUCCAUACGUCACGUGGUCGGAAAAAAAAAUUACCUGAAAAGACUUCACAAGCAUCCAGAGUAAAGGAAUAAUUAUAAGAUGACACAUACAUGAUUGGGUCCCAUACUGUAUUGUCUGAGCUCAAAUAAAUGUCUCAUUGCCCACAACAUUUGUUAUUUGGAGGUUUGUGUGGAUGUUGGUGCGAGUAGGUUGGCUUUUCCUGGGGCUCUCCAACCUUUAAGACCAGUCGGUGUAGAACUAGUGUCUUAUGCUGAUAUGAUGGGGCUGGAUAAUUAGUAUUUUAUACUGGCAUGAUGUGGAAUGCAUGGGACCUAUGAAUGUGUGGUCAAUCCUGGUCCUUAGUACGAUCUCUGUGGACCAGGGAUCUCAACAUGAGUGUGUGUAAUAUAAGUUAUUGGGUAGAUGUGGAGUGGUAAAGCCUGGAGUAGGCUCGCUGUACUCACUACCUAUACAUAGAACCAAAAACCCACAUGGACAGGCCUGGGGAGUUAAGUCUCCACAUGGACGAACAGGGUACGAAUAGUAUAUAACAAUUUAGGACACACACAUGUUCGGGCUGUAUAUGAUUAUAUAUCAUGUACUGACGAGGAUAACAGUAUUGGUGUGUAUGUAUGCAUGUUAAAUAAUGGUGAUAGAUUCAUGGGAUACCAUCCAGUCAUGUUAAGCUCCAUCUAUAAUUCCUCUUUAUGUUAAUUUCCGUAGGGACUGGUCAGACUGGCAUGAGGCUCCUAGGUAGCCACUUAGGUACUCAUUUGCUCUUAUCUCACAUAUCCAGUAACAUACGGUAAGUGGAAGUGAUGAUGACUAUGUUGUGAGUCUGACUACUGUUUUGGGACCUUCUAUCUUUG